GGGUUUUUUAUUUUUAGAUCUAUAAAUCCGCAGAUUAUCAGAGGAUACAAUAUUGGAAUUAGGGAUUUCCUAAACUCUGUAAUCAGAAAAGGAUUAGGGCUUUCCUAAAAAAUCAUUUUUAUGGUUUAUUAGUUUGAUUUUCCUGUGUACUUCUCAUUAUCCAUACGUCCAUGGCUCAAAUCGCUAACAGAUGAUGUUAAUCAUCUGUUAGUGAUUCAAAUUCCAAUCAGUGGUUUGAUUUUCAUAAAUCUGUUAGUGGUUCAAAUUCAUCGAUAUUUUAAUGAUUAAGAUCUUCCGAUCAGUGGGGGUUCGUUGGCCAUGUCUGGUAAACAAUGGGACCAAUGAUCUAGAUGGCCUGGGUUGCUAUAGAUGUAUGCCAUGUAUACAAUGGAUGCAGACAUAGAAUAGUCUUGACAUUCAUCAUUUGUUGUGAAUGUUUAAGGUGUGCACAACAUGUGCUUGAUGAAAUGUCUCUGUUCUAACAGUUUUCAAUUUAUAUGUAUGCUAUGCUUUCAUUGUUUUGGAACAUGAUUUCAAUGAAGGCUCUAAAGUCAGCGGUCAUGACGGACAGUGUGAGUGCCUUCCACUUCAACCAACAUCAUCUUGUGGCCCUGGAUGCGGAAGUUGAGGGAAUUUUGCAAUCCCACAUUUGAUAUGCGGAAUCUGUGAGUUUUUCCUGACAAGAGAAAUCAGUGUUACUCCCAAUUACUAAAUAUUUUAUUGUUUCAAACUCUUCCUGGUUCAUGUAUUUUUCUAUUUUAUGCUUUUAUGACCUCUAAAUUUCACAUUGAUAAUGUGUUAUCGCAAAUCAAAUGACAUUUCAAGGUUGUGCUAGCUGUAUAUCACACUCCUUGCUUAGGGCGUAAAUCUGUAAAUGAUUUUCUAUGUGAAUGGUGGUGACAUUCUUGUUCUUAUCAGUUGCAGGAAAGGCUCUUUAUGUUUAGCUUUGAAUCAUUAUUAUGGAUGAUCUAGUAUAAAUUUCAAAUUUAUAUGUGUGACGAUAGGUAUCCAGUAUCCUAUAAGCUAAAUGACAAGUAUGAUUUUUGGUGUGUUUGGAUGCACCAUCAAAUCUGCAUAUGGUUAUUAGUCCAAUAGAGUGCAAACAACCAACUUGAGGGCUACUUCCUCAUUAUGAAUACUAGGGAACAUCAUUAAUUUUUAUCAAUUCCUCUUGAUUAAACUUGAUGGACAUAAUUUAAUUCAUUUGUGCAUCCAAGUGCAGCCAUUAGGAAUUCUAUGUUCGAUUGCAUCUGAUUCAGGCUUAGCUACAGUUCCUUCUCUGGAUACGCAACAACCAAGUUCAUGGUAAACAUAUAGCUUAAGCAGAUUACUUCCAGGAUGUCUGGUGGCCGUAUAUAAUUCUACUUUCUCAUGCACGUGUAUAUUUCAAUCCAACCGUUUAAACUUCUGAUGUCUAGUUAAAUAAACAUAUAAAAUACAACCUAUCAUGUAACAAAAAUGCAUGUAAUAGAGUGAUUGGGAUACUAACCUCCUAACUAUGUGAUCAAUGGUUCCACUUAUAAAGAAGUAGAAUUUGAAGAAGGAGAAGAAGAAGAAGAAGAAGAAGAAAACAGGGAGUUCUGUCCCUACCUGAUGCUUAGAUGACUCUUUACCUAAAAUUUGAAAAGAAAUCAGUGUGAUUUAGCAACUGAAUGAGAUGUGCUUUUUCUGCAGUCAGCAGCAGGUAUCCAAAUUCAACCGAGAGUAUAUAAUCCAAAGAUCAAAGUGCUAUUGGCCAAAAUCUGUAAACAAGUACUUGUGUGUUUGGGAGAUUUUCUUCGUGGUUCUCAUUUCCAUCCGUGGCUUGGUUUUAUUUUCACUUCUCAUUGGUAAUAUGCAGGAUUACCUUCAUUCCAACCAUCUAGCAUUAUAUCAUGGCAACAGUUAUUGGACUGUGUCUACGAGUUAAGCUAAUGUGUUGUUUCCCUCCACAUUUCAAGGGAGUGAGUGUGAAUCUCAGGCAUUAUCAGCUGGUACAAGGUUGAAAGAAGGUUGCCACAUACCCUCUAGCCGCAAGUUUGUAGUAGUUUUCAUGGGUAGUUCCUUUAAAAACAAGGUAAAGAAAUUUUUCUUUAGAUUUAUUUUCAUUUGUUUAUUCAUGUUGCAGACAACUUUGUUUUGUUAUUGAGAUAAGUGUUUUUCAAGAAUGUAAAUUUGAUAGUUAAUGCGGUCAAAAUUUACUAAAGAAUACUAAUGUAAUUGAGAUGAAGAUAUGAAACACAUGAACAAUUCAAAUAAGUUACCUGCAUUCAUCAUCACUUGUUUUGGACUAGAAAAUGAAGUAAGACACACACACACAAAACCAACUGUACAGGUCAAGUUCCCAGCAUGUUCAAUUGCAGUGAAAUGACACAUUAAUCAAAGCACAACGAUUCUGGAUGUGCAAGGAGUGGUAUGGGUAGAUUUUGCUUUUUCUUUUCUUUUCUUUUUUCCUUUUUUUCUUUUGCAUUUAUUCAAGGGAAAUUGUCAUGAAAACCUCAUUUUUU